AAUAACUCAUCUUUUGCAAGAUAUAGAUGUGCAAAACUAGAAAGAUAGUUGAUAAUCUUAACUCAAGAGAGAAGUGAAAGAUUUUGUAUAAAGAUAGAAAAGUUCAAAUCGAAAUUUGAGAGAGAGUGAGACAACAGCUUAAAACUUCUCAGACCAGAAAAAAGUAAUGAGGAACAGCUGCUAUCCUCAUCUGGCUUAAGAAAAUGAGGUGACAGACUGUUAGUGUUAUGUAGUGGCUGUAAUGGCCGUCGCAUGAGCAAUUUUUUUUUUUUGCCUUUAAAUAAGGGGAGUCAUGGUAACGGGAGGGCAAAAAGGCUAUAAAUAAUGGUUGAUAUUUAAAACCAUGAUUGGAACCUGAUUGCAUAGGUGGAAAGCUUCAAAGAAUGCAAAUUUUACGUUACAAGCUUUUGUGAAACUCGUUAAAGAUAGCAGUGAAGAAUUCCCUUGGUUGAAUUGUUUAAUUUUAGAUGAAGGUACAACUUGCAAUGACUAUUUUGUAGGCAUGCUUUGCGUAGUUUCAUCUUGGAUGUGGAUAAUUCGAAGGAAAAUGAAUAUUUCCUUGACUGGAUGGUAGAUGAAGUGCAAUAGGAAGGAGGAAUUUUUAGAAGAACUUGUUAGAGAUUAGGGUGGUAUUUAGAGUAGUUGCAAAAUAAAUAAAUAAAUAAAUAA
rnacentral:misc_RNA from 1 species